rnacentral:pre_miRNA from 9 species
UCUCGAUAGCGUAAAAGUUAACUCAAAUUUGUAUGGAGUUGGAAUGUUUGCCUACGUUGGCCGGAAAGGGCGCUGUUCCAACUGCAUAAAAAUGUAUGUUAACUUUUAUGCUUUUUA